ACUUGCCUUUAGAAAAGAAAAAGAGAAGAAGGGAACAGUAAAUUUAGGAAAGGUCAAGGUGGAGGAAGAUGGAUAAUGGAGAGACGGGAAGAGAGGAGGAAAAGAGGAUGCAUGCAGACACUGGAUGCAUUUCAAAUACAUACAUAGAAGGAACAGUAAAGGUGCCCGUCGAUGGCCACUGGGUCCAGGAUAUCCUUACCACCACACUGUGUAUGCUCAGGUCCUAUAUAAAGCAGCAUGCAUGCCUCCCACUUCACACUUUUAAUAGUAUUUUGAAUAUUUUUCUUACUUGAUUCAGUAUAUAUGCAGUGUGAAUGCAGCUGAUGCCGUAUUAUUAAAAGACAAAAUCUGCAUGUGAUCAAUAAAUAUAUGUGAAUAUUAAUCAAAUAGUUUUCAUAUACUAUUGGCUGAUUCCUGCCUGAGGAACACAGUACAGAACCAAUUGUACUUGCUCAUGGGAUAGGCCUAGGAUCUGGGACUCUGUAGAUGUAUGAUCGAUUCUCUUUAGGAGUAACUUUAUGCAAGAACAAUAGGAUACCCACUAUUUAAAACCAUUUCAAAGAUUAGAUGAGAAAACCCAUAGAAAGGAUUUAUUCCGUGAUCAAAAGAGAUGACAGUCUCAAUAGAUGUCAUGCUGAUAGUCAUAGAAGUAAAAUGUAUGGUGAUGGACACAACUAAGAGAGAUUGGGAUCUGUAAUUUUUUUAUUAUUAAAUUUAUAUAUUUAUUCACUUUACAACCCAGUACCAACCCUUUCUCUCCUCUCAGUACCCCCUUAAGCAAGUCCUCCCCUCAUUCUAUCUUCUCUUUUGAAGGGGAAGCCCCCCUCUGGGGGUCAACCCCCCCUCCAACAUCAAGGCACAUCUGCUCCCAUUGAGACCAGACAAAGCUGUCUAGUUAGGGGCAAGGGAUCCACAGGCAGGUAGGCAACAGGUUCAGGGACAGCUACUGCUCUAGUUGUGGAAGGAUAAGGAUAGAAACCCACCCCAAAAACCUUUAACACAAAAUGUGACUUGCCUACAAGAUGUUCGGGGACAAAGAUAGAACAGAGAGAAUGGGAAUGGCCAACCAAUGACUGCCCCAAAUUAAGACCCAUCCUAUGGGCAAGAACCAAGGCCUGACACUAUUAAUGGCACUCUGUUAUGCUUGCAGACUGGAACCUAGCAUAACUGUCUUCUGAGUGGCUCUACCCAGCAGCCAAUGGACACAGAUGCAGUGACUCACAUCCAAACAUUAGAUGGAGCUUGAGGAGCCUUAAGGAAGAGUUAAAAGAAGGAGGACUAAGGGACCUGAACAGGACAGGGACCCUACGGGGGGGGGGCUCCCAGAGACUGUACCACCAUCAAAGAGGAAGCAGAGGCUGGAUCUAAGGCCCCCUUGUUCAUAUGUAGCAGAUGAGCAGCUUGGUUGUCACAUAGGUCUCCCAACAACUGGGAUCUGUACAAUUUAACAGCAGUUGGAUCACAAGCGGGGAGGCGACCUUGACAAAUAGUUGAAUGAGGUAUCCUGUGCUCUCUGGUAGCCUUGUCUUUUCUAUGAACUUUUAUUGCAUGGUUCUGUAGCACAGCAUUCAUUAACCUGGCAUGUUUUUCUUUGUGUGAAAAAUAAAAUAAAACCCUGAUCUGCAUCCUUAAUUCAUUUUAACAUCACUAAUCUUGCCUCUUCCAAUGAUCAAGGUACUUACAGUGACAGAUUUAUGGAGUGUAUUUAGACUACAAAGCGCUUUAGACAUGACCAACAGGCCAGCAAGACAAUUAAUGUGUCUCACCCCCUGCUUCCAAUUCUGUUCCUUUAAUUUACUUCUGGAGGUAAACAAGAGCCUGCAGCAAAGUUGUCUGUCUCUAAAUUUUGGGGGGCUGGAAUUGGCAAAUAGUCCAAGUUAUGUCCCUUACAUACCUCCCAUCCCCCAACUAGACAUAUGUAGCCUAAUACAUAUUAGGCUCAUGUAGUUACAUGAAAUAAUUUACCUGCAACAUGCCUCUGACUGACUCCUUCUUCUGCUGACAAAGUGUCUAGCAAGUAGCAACAUAGGGCAGGAGAAAGAAUCCCAUGGAAAUAGGCUAUAUCUUAGCUCCAGGCAGUAAUAAAUAAAACACAGGGCUCUGUAAUAUGAUAUUUUGAUAUCUGCUCUUAUCCUUAUUUUAGCGGCUUAUUUUAGCAUGGACAGAAAAUGCUGAUGGUUAAAUUACGGAAAUAGAAGAGUGUCUGCAUUCAGUUGAUGACAGUAAAGGAGGUGUCUGACAGAAGUGCUUUGACUCAAAACCCCCAAAUGUGGCAGAUUUAUUCUCUAAUGGCGGCAUUCAAAGUUUUUAGAGAGGGUGCUUUGAAUGUGGAUAGUCCUUGGAGCAAAUUGCUUGAUUUAUUGAUCAUUAAAUCGAUGCAGUUCUCAUGACGAGUUUGCUGCCGUUGAGCUGAGCAUGCCUGUGAUUCUAUCUAAAGCCACCGGAAGUCAAAUCUGUCGACCACUGUGAGAAGAGGGACAUGUCCUUUCCACCUGCCUCUGUACAGGAAGUGAGAGAAGGAGGAAGUCCUGACAGCGGGAUUGAGAGAAACGUUGUUGAGUAUGUGGGACACUCACACUUACAUUGAAUGUGGAAGACUGGUCUGGAGACCUCCAUAUUGGCAAGGGUUGAAAGCAAAAAAUAUUGAAAGAAGAGAACUACUUGCAAAAUUUCUUAGUUUUUUUUUUUUUUUCUGUUCUGACUUAAAACAAUUACAGGGGCAAAGUUAUAAUAGCUUAGUUAGAAGAGUGCUUGUUUAUCACACCUGAAGCAGGAAAUCCUAGUUUGAUGUCUAGCACUUGGGAGGAGGGGCCAGAAGGAUCAAAACCUCAAGGUCAUCCAUCCUUGCAAACAUAGAAAGCUUGAAACCAGCCUAGAGGACUUGAGACCUUAUCUCUAAAUAUGCCAUCAAUCAAUCAAUCAAUCAAUCAAUCAAUACAUCUAUAUUGGAAUAUGUGUGUGUGUUUUCUUCAUAGCUUUUGAUUUAUACAAGACACAACUGUUCUGUAAUCUUCAUGAGAAUAGGAUUCCACCCCACUGGCAGGCAGCUUUCCAUUCAACUCUGUAAGUCAUGCCAUGUGCCCAACAUAAACAACACCAGGAGUCACUGUUGCUGGAACCUCAUCGGAACCAUUUUGUUCCCAGCAUACAGCACACAGAUCCUUAUUGGGCUGCUAGGGGUUCAUCUCAAGUUAUCAGAGCUGACCUACACUUUUAACUAGCCAAGUGAAGAAGCCGAUCAAGUGCGACCACUCCCAGGUAAGGACCACUUGGUUGACUUUGCUGGUUACUUUGAUAACAUAAUGCUCUUUCAAUGUCUUUGUUUCUGAGGUAAGAACAAUUGAGGCCUUGUCUUACAUCUGAUUGGGCGGGAAUACUAUUGGUAUGGGAAAUUCGGGCAGUAGAAAAGCUUUUCAGCUCUUUCUGGUGUUUGGAAACUCAGGCUAAUCAAGGGGGAAAGGGACAUAUGACCCACGGAAUAAUGACAGCCACAAGUGACCCUCUGCUCUGGGCUUGUAAGAGUAGUUUGGUGAUGAUAAAACUGGUUUGGCUUGAGGAGGUUGUGGAAGCCUUCUCACAGGAGGUGGACAGUCAGUUAAGAACCCUCUGUAAGCUGCGGGAGGGGCAAGGUCGGUUGGUAUUUUAUAGAGAGCAUUUUGUUACAUGAAAAGGCCAGUAAGAUUGAAAGGGGAGAAACGUGGUCUUUUUCCUAAUCAGGCUCUCUGACCUGGGUUCCUGUAGACACCAUCAGCAGCACGACUCGAGCUAGCCUGUCUCUGAGUGCUCCACACUCCACAGCUGCUCUGACUCCCAGUGUUUCUGAACACUAGACAAAGCCAUUCUUGUUAUGCAGUAAGAGGAACACUGGUCCCCUCCCUUCUCCAAAUCCCAGCUAUUCUUUAGGGUCUGUGAGGUCUGAGAAGUCCAUCUUUGUGUCAGAAACUGUGGGAUAAGCUAAAGGGGGAGUGGGUCAAACAUUUUCACAGUUUAAUAGUAUCAAGGAGAUCGGAUUGCUCAUUUCUUUUCUCUUUAGUGAUAGAAAUCGACAGAGAUACGUGGUUCUAGGGCCUCUUCUUAGAGAGGAUGUGGCAGCAGAUGGAGAUCCUCUUUCUUGGAACUGGAGAGGAAACAGCUUGGAAGUUCUGCAGGAGCCAGAGACCUAAUGGGUACCUGGAGUGCAGCAGCAUGGACUGGCAGAGGAGGCACAAGAAAGACGAGUAUCAUCGAAAGAGGCAGUGCCAGUGGAACCCGAGGAACACAGACAGCCUCCUGGACUCUCAUUGGUCUCCAGGAAUAAAAACUCAGGCGCUUGUCUUCUAGUCUCUUCUCAGCCAGUGAGGAGAAAGAACACUGGACAAAUGCUAUAGAUCCUGCUGACCUACCCACAAACAAACAGACUGGAAUAUAUAUAUGUAUAUAUCACAUAGACAUAAAAACACAAAAUUGGAAACUACAAUUAAUAUUCGAGAAAAAGACCAGUAAGACAUAAAACAAAAACAAACAAAUAAAGCAAAAUGAGACCAAAAAAACGUCUACAAAAAUGCCACUGAGUUCAUUUUCUGUUGGCCACCUACUGCUAGCACAGGGUUAGAUUCUCAAAGCCAGGGUGUGUGUAUGAUUCCAAGGAAUCACUGUGUUUCAGUACAACAGGACUGGUGUACACAUGAACUCAGACACUGUGGCAGGAGGAAGGGGACCUGCACAGGUUCGGGUCAGAUCGGGUCUCAGUGCUGAUGAGAGGGUAAGUGGACAUGGAUCCCAGCCCUAACCAAGAGCCUAUCUUCCGCUGACAUCCACUUGCAAAGAAAAAAUUAGUUUCCUCCUGUUCCUCUCUUUAUGAUACCAUCUCUUCACCUCUCCACCGACUCAUGGGGAAAGAGGCAGUGAAAAUGUCAGCCCUAUGGGUUAAUCACAGAAGUUCCUGUGCUAUCAUGAGACAUGCUCCACACAUGCUAGAUCGGAACAGAUAGUUUGAAAGGUGCAUUACUUUUUAAAUGAUCUUCCUUUAUGUAUCUGUUACUGUACUUGAUCAAAUACUUAUUUACUAGAAGAAGAAGUGGGCAGAGUUAGGAGGGAUCCUUGGGAUGUGGAAAUACAAUGGCCGGUGUGGACAGAGCUUGAGAUACAUUCUAGAAGACAGGUUACAGUUUCUUAUCAUUUAUCUAACAAGUGUGAUUUUUCAAAAAAAAGUACCAAACUUAUAACAUACACAAGAAUCUAUUUCAUAUGCCUGAAUUGAUAAGCUGUUGGCCCAAGGAAAUGGUACAAAGAGUAAGUAACAUUUUGAAAAAGAAAUACUAUUUAACAAGGCGGAAUCUUUUCACAUUACUAUGUGUGGUAUGUAUGCUUCCCCAAGAGUUAUUUACCCCCAGUAAAUAACCCUUUUCAUCUCUUGGCAAUAUAAAUUGGAUUGUAUUUUUGGUACCUUGAUGAUCUAUCCAGAGGAAGACACUGAAUUAGUUCUGAGGAGUUAUCACACUGCUGAGUGUCAAAGACCGUAAGGAAGCGAGGGGAAAUGCGGCAGAAGGUGGUUAGGUUAUGCAGGCUUAAGGAGCACGAGAAUGAUUCUAAAAAUACAAAUAGCAGCUAAUUAAAGGGAGACUGGCUGCGGGAGUUUGCUGAAUCAGAAGUGAACUGAUUUUUAGAAAUAUUGAAAAUGAUGCAAGCAGCAGAUACACAUUUGAACAGGAUUCGACUAAUUUGAUUAAUUAUUAAGUAUGAUAGCCCUCAAAAAGAAUCAUCUCAACUCGUCGACUAAUUUUAGCAGAGAUGAGAAUAUUCAAACUUAGCUGAUGAUAGCUUCAGGAGAAGGGCUUCUUCUUUGUGGUUAGAACUGAUAUCCAUCAACAAUCGAAGCCUUUUCCCAAGGAAAAAAAAUUAAUAAAACAAUAGUUUGCCCAAGACAGCAUGAUCUAGUAUUUCCAUAAUAAAAGUUUGGUUUCAGGAAUGGUGUCUGGUGUAUCCUCUGCCCUGAGUACGCUGGGAUGCUGUGUUGAGUGUAACAAGCAGCCGAAUGAUGGAUGCUAAAAGCCCAUUCCUGCAUUCUUGGUUUAGCAAAUUGAUCUACAACACUGCCAAAAUGGAAAAACAAAACAAAGCAAAACAACAACAACAACAACAACAACAACAAAUUUCAAUCAAGGCUACCAAGAGAGGACUAUGCUACUCCUCAUAGUUUGUGUUACACAGCAGUCCACUUUUUCAAGAACAUUCACAUCUGUCAUUGGCACUUCUGUUUUGCACUGUCCUAGGGACACAGAAGGAGACAUAACAUUCCCAUCUUACAUAGAAGACAAAUGCAGUUGGGAGACAUAAAGUGAUACAUGUCAGGUUGUCUCUUGGUCCCUGCAAGUCUCAUGAGCAGGAAUUUCCCUCUGCACUGUAACCCUGCUCAGCUCCUUCCUAGGACAGACCUUCCAAACUCUGAGAGAGUUGUCCACCAUCUUUUAUUCAGUUGGGUAUCCCAUAGACACUCAUCAGAGUUCCACCCUGUGAUUGGUCUGUUGGACUUACCUUUCUGACACUGUUAUAAACUCAAUACCAGAUACACUCUAACAACAUGAUGUCUACUGGUCAAUUAAUGAACAACUGGGAAUGGACUGAGGACAAACAAUGUAGGAAGGAAGAGUGCUUUGACCUCUGAGAACUGUGUCCAUGCUUACAUGUUCUGCUGCAGCCACCCAUCUCCAUGAAAAAGGUCCUGGAAACAGAAUAUGCAUAAGAUGUGGCUAAAACAAGUUCAUGUAGCCUGUCUGUGGGAACUGCUGUACUUAACAGCCAAGGCAUUGGCACAUGAUUUAGUAUCAACAAGUUUAGUUCAAACUAGAAAAGUUAAUGUCCUGCAUUAUCCCAUGGAAGCCCACAAGUGCAGCUAACUAAGCUUCAUCCAGACUUCUCCAAAUUUGCUUGAACAGAGAGAAUAUGCAACCCUUCUUGAGAACUAUGAUGCCAGGGGUCACACAGUUGUUAGUGCAUCUCUCAAUCUUCACCAGAGAAGAUUCAUUUUUGUAGUAGAUGGAGAUUUAAAAAAGAAGCCCACAACUGGUCAUUGUGCAAAGGGUACGAGAUUAGAGAUGCUCAGCUGUAAAUGAGACACCUAGAUCACACCCCUCUCUCCAAGGGUCAGGUGUCCAUGUGAAGGGAUGCUGUUGUAAUACUCAGAGGUAGUGAAUGUCUGCAGCAAAAUGCUAUUUGCUGAACCUGUCAUGGCCACUGAACACACGAAUGCACAGUGAGUAUGAAAGAAUAUACAAUAACUAUGUAAGAUCAAGUGAGAAAAGUUUCAGCAUGGGUAUACAAGGUGGUCAUGAAGUCUCACUCCUAGCUGAGGAGCUACUGGUAAGUGGUGGUUUCUUGGAGAGUUUUCUUUAGGGAUGUGAACCUUAAGAGGCUACUCCUGCUCCACUAGAUGGUCUUGGACCCAUGUGCACACAAGCACCAUUAAGUGAACUCAGAGCGUUAUAAAGAGCACAUAAAGUGGAAAGGAUAAAUAAAUAAUGGGGAAGAUACGGGAGAAAUGUAAGGGGGAAAGAAUGGGAAUUGAUUUGAUCCAAACACUAUAUAUACACGUAUAAACUUUCAAACAUUAAAAUAGUAAAGAUGAUGGAGAAAAUUUAUGUUUACAUUGGCUACACUGCCUUAUUUCUAGAUGCACUGCCUUAUUCUGACUUAACAUAUGCAUGCUUCCUGUGACUCUAUUCAUCCAUGCCUUGUUUAGAGACAUAAAGACGUAUAAGGGAAACGUAGUAUUUACUGAAACUUUUAUCUUUCUCUUAACCAAUUAAGUAUAUAUGGAAGAAUUCUCAAAGUUGCUAUUCAAAUGCAGGAAGUUUUCUAUUUUAAAUUCACUGAUGGUUUUGUUGUCUGAAAAUCAAACAAUUGCUUUCCAUGUUGGUACCUACUGACAAGCUAACCAGUGUCUCCAACAGUGAGCUUCUGUUUGUACUACGUGCUGUCAGGACCAGAGAGUCUUAUGUGAUGUUCUGCAACUGGUUCCCAGUAUAUGAUUUCACUCUGUAAAACUGGCUUGUGAAAGGUUUCCUGUAGAGCAGAGACCAGCCUCAGAAGGCGUUUGAGAUUUCCUUGUAUGGCAUGCACACCACUGAACUAAGGUUACUGCUGGAGACAAAACGAAACAUCGGCAGUUCCACGCAAAUGAGGACGCCUCAGCAAGCCCAUCGGCUGCCGGAUGACCAGCAUCCUUGUGCUCUCCUGUCCUAGUGCACUGGGAAGCAUAAGCUGUGGGAUCCCUGGUGUUAUCCAAGCACAGCCAGGCGAGACAGAGAGCCCACCUCUGUGCCUGCAGAAAGCCUUCCCUAGUCACAUAAAGUCCAUGCAGCUAGAAAAGGAGUUUAGCUUUUAACCCAGGUGACUGCUCUCCAUGUUGCUUCCCCUGGGAAUCUUGAAGGGGUUAAUUAUGUAGGUUUAAUUAUUGCAAAUACCUCUGCGAAGCUGUGCUUUUAUCAAGGAAAUGCACGUGUGCUUAUGGUCUUCAUUCUGGAAAUUAAAAGAUUACUUGGAGCAGGGCUCUACUGCUUCACAGAAGCUGAAGGAACUGCCAGCGCCUGCCUUCUUCUGUCCAUGGGGAAGUGUUAUAGGAAAAGGCUGGCCACCUGCUCCUCAGAAUACACACACACACACACACACACACACACACACACACACACACACACACAUACACACAUGCACACACACACAUACACACACACACACACACACACAUACACACAUGCACACACACACAUAUACACACACACACAUACACACACACACAUACACACACACACAUACACACACACAUACACACACACACAUACACACACACAUACAGACACACACAUACACACACACAUACACACACACACAUACACACACACAUACAGACACACACAUACACACACACAUACAGACACGCACAUACACACACACACACACACACACACACACACACACACACACAUACACCAUACACACCACACAUGCAGGAUGCAUAUGAGGUCACAUAUGAGCAUGCACCUUCUUCAGAUGUUUUAAGUGGUCUGGAAUGUUAGUUCAGAUUUAACGUUAUGAUGUGUGCUGUGUUGUUUGUAGUUUCUUCAUGAGUGCAUGUGCGUGUGUGCACGUGUGGCUGUAUGUAUGCGGAUCACAUGUGUGUGCAGGGUAGGGGUGUGGAAUAAGAGUAUGCAUAGAGGCCAAAGGCUGAUGUCUGGCUCGUCCUCCUUCACUCUUUCACCUUAUCAUUAAUUUAUGGUCUUCCAGUCAACCGUAGGGCUCACCAACAUGGACGGUUUUUCCCAGCCAGAUUGCUCUGAAAGAAUCUCUGCCUCCAUUUUACAACUAAGCCUCCAUGUUCACCCAGUGUUUCCUGGGUUCAGGGGAUCUGAAUUCUGGUCCUUUAUGCUUGUGCUAAAGGUGCUUUCGUCAGUGAGACAUCCACUGGUACACACUAUGUUGUUUUUUUUUUUUUCUAAAAGGAUUCCUGCAUACAUGUAUUUGUUAGUAUACCGUGUGUUGCCUAUGAAGCCAGUGGGAACCACACAGUAAGACAUUUCUAACAGCCACAUGAGUAUUUCUAGAGCCCCUUCUUGUGGUCAGUCUUCCCCACCUCAGUCCUCCUAGUACUGCUCCCAUAUUACCUGUUGAGAAUAAAGCCAUUUAGGCAAUUAGAUGAGGGAUGUGUUCAGAUGUGUUAUCUGGCUGGAUCACACAGUAGGUCCGGUGGAUUUUCUAGUUGCUAUUUUCAGUUUUAUGUGGACAUAAUCUAUGUCUCCUUUAAACACAAGAAGGACUUUCGGGGAAAAGAUGCCAUUUGCUGGUUUUCAAGGCUUUUUAGGAGAUGUUUAAGAUCCCUAGUGUUGAUAGUCAGUCUAAGAUGCUUAGUGCUACUCACAUUUAGGUAGUGAGGACUAUCCUACGCAUACCUAACUUCUACUGCUGGUUUAUACCACUGUGACAAAACCUAUUUCUAGGUAUUAUUAAAUGUGUCCCAAGAGAAUCAAACUGCUGCCUGUUAGGAGCAAUGGUUUCAGAAUGUCAGAGGUGGAACCAGGCAACUUCUCAAUAGGUGGCAGGCAAUUCUGAAAGUCACAGAGCUACAGUGUCCUGGUGUCUACUCUGUAUUCCUCUCCCUGGCUCGGUAACAUCAUAAGCUCCAGGCACUUCAUAGCUUGUGGGUUUGCGGAAGCUUUGGUGUGAUUAUAGGGGCAGACAGGAGAUGUGAUUUGCUGUAACUGACAUAAUACAAAUUGCUUGUCAAUUCCUUCUCACUUGUCUGCAGAGUGCAGCCAUGGGAGAACACCUUCAGAGAGGAAAAUGAGUGUGUAAGCAUGCCUGGAGCAGAAGCUGUGUAGGAAAAUGAGUGUGUAAGCAUGCCUGGAGCAGAAGCUGUGUAGGGAAAUGAGUGUGGAAGUAUGCACUGGCACAGAUGCUGUGCAGGAAAAUAAGUGUGUAAGCAUGCACUGGGACAGACACCAUGCAGGGAAACUGAACCUGGGGAACGAACUUGUCAACUACACUGCGAGAAUUCUUCACUGGCUCCCUGAGAUACUGGCAAGCCCUGAGCUCCCUGCUCAUGCAGCGUCCCCUACACUGUAGGUGUGUGUGUGUGUGUGUGUGUGUGUGUCCCUCAUCUGCAAGGAUUUCUGAAAUUCCAUCAAAUUUGUAAUUACUGUCCACUCUACAGGUACAUGACUCUGCCCUUUGCUGCACAGUAUAACUUCAAUAAAUAACCAGAUUUUGUAGCAAUUUUAUAAAACUAACAUAAAACAUGCCUUUUCCAUAAGAGAAAUACACUUUACCAUUAAUAGCUCUUUGUUGUCAUUCCCUUUAAACUAUAUGCUACACUCAAUUUGUCAUAGUGAGGAUAUAUGCUGUGUUCUCUGUGGCAUUACAGGUAAGGAGUAAGGACUCCCAAGGGAGACAUUGCUAGCCUUGGGUUCGUGGUAGGGCCCAGUAACGCUUAUUGGAAGAGUCAUGGAAAUUGAAUAAUGUGCUUCAUCUCUACGCAUAUUCUUAAAAGUCAUUUUAAAAACUAGUUUAUGGCACAGAAUUCUUGGAUGUAUUUUACAGCCCUGGACUUUGGAGCGUGUAGUCCAUUUCUCCUUACAAAGCUUGAAGCACUCUUUCCUUCCUUUAAGCCACCCUGUGCAUCUUCUUGGGCUUACUGGAUUGUAGCUACGAACCAAGAGAUCAUGAACACUUUCCCACAAGAAACUCACUCCAAAGUGUCCACCAAGGCUGGACUCAGAAAGCCAGCCGACAGAGACCUCAGGCUGUGUUAGAUGUUUUCACUGAUUCGGCUAGUUCCUGUACCUUCACCAUUCUCUCCUUUAAGAUUCCUCUCUACUUCUACAGACAGGACCUUUACACAGAACACAAGAGGGGAGACACAGCAAGUGCCUAAUCUGUUUCAAAACACCUACGUUUUAUUUGUUACAACUGUAACUAACAUUAAUUUAAGAUAUGUUAGAAUAAGAGCCGUGUUUUCUUCAAAUGCAGCUCCCAGGGUGGGAGAUCUGCACUCUCUCUCUCUCUCUCUCUCCUCUGAAAGAAUAAACCUAUAAAUGGACAAUAGCUAGAUUUUGAAGUAAAACAGAAAAUCGACCCACAGUCUACAGCCACCUAGCCAAGGAAACAGAAUCUUAUCUAUAAUAAAUGACCUUGGAAGCUGGUCUGCUAAAACUCAGUCUUGCAGGAAACCAGAAUGCUAUCUCUAGGCACCAUUCAGAACUUCUAUUAAUAACUGGAUGCAAAUGACCAAGAGUCAGUGGCUGACAGCUUCUCUAAUUUUUGUGUUUGAGUCCAAUUUAGAAUUGGGGAAAAAAAAGCCAAAUGCAUAGUCUUCAGCACUUAUAAAGAACACUGUGUGGUGUCAGCUUCCCUGGGCUCUCAGUCUCCAAUCAGGGCACACAAAGGCCCCCUCUCCCAAACACACACACACACGCACAAGCACAAUACACACACACAAACACACACACUUGCAUAGGCACACACACACACACAUAAUUGCAUAGGGACACAUACACACACAAACACAACCAUGUGCAUAGGCACACACACACUCACUUGCACAGGCACACACAUACAUACAUGCAGUUGCACAGGCACACACACACACACACACACACACACACACACACACAGAGGCACACACACACACCCACUUGCACAGGCACACACAUGCAUUAGAAUAGCUACUGUGUCUCUAUCUUUAGAUGCCUGGCAAGUACAGAUGAUGGUAUCUGGCUUCCCUGCCACAGUGAGUUCACAGCCCAUGACUUUUGCCUUUCUUUGGUAGAAGUUUAUACCUUAUCCAUAUAUACCUUCUUCUGUAAACUGCCCAAAGUGUCUCAUGGAUUUCCUCCUCACAGGUCUCCAAAGGACUCCUAAUGAAAUGCUAUUGCCAUCUCUAGUACAGAGCACGUUUUCUCAAUGACCAGAGUGCCAGUUGGUUCCUCUAAAAGAACAGCACCUGAAGGGUUACCUGAAGUUGGUUAGAAUCGUUGGAUGAGGGACAGGUAUCUAUGGAAUCUAUCCAUGAUGAAGUCAUGUGUGGCUUCCUGGUUAAUUUUACUGAUUGGAUAGGAAUGACAGAUGAGUUGAUGAAGCCCUUGCCUUCACUGACAAGAACUUGAACCACAUUGAGUCACUGCUCAGUCUUGUGUACUUGUAACAUCUACUGAUGUGUCUACAGAUCUUAGGUGCCAGGGAGAGGCUAAUACAGCCACUGGAUACUGAUGUGUACAGUGUGUGACGGUGUUCCUCCAGGAACCAGAUACAUCUGCAAGUUCUGAGAGCUGGGUUAUUUCCCACUUUCCCCAGCAUUUUAAAGCUACAGAUCCUGCAGUGUCCGCUCAUCUUGAACUUCAAGAAGGGAUAACAAUUAUUUUUCCACUCCACCAAUACCCAUUGACAGGCUGAAAUUUUGUUGCUUUGAACUCAUUCAGAUGACAAAUAUCUACUUUUAUGGGGUGAAGCUCAGAACUUGUAUUAUAGAGUAGCUAAAACUCAGCUUUUAAAUGCAAUUUAAAAACCCUAGCUGUUGCUUGCCGUUUAUCUGUGACUUAGAUCUGUGUAUUAAAAUUUUUAUUUAUUUUUAGAAGGUGUGUGUCUGCAUGCACACUGACAUCAGGGGCAAGUAUGAAAUCAGCUCUGUCCUUCCACUUACGUGUGGGUUUGGGGGAUCUAACUCAGGUCCAAAGGCUUGGGCUGGGAGCACCUUUACCCUCUCAACCAUCUUGCUGGCCCCAAAGCUGUACAUGAAUAAGCACGGUUAUCCCUCCAUGCCUGCUCUAUUGUGAACUCCCAAAGCAUUUUUCAAAAAUGCAUCUCAGUGAUAUAAACAGGCAAGUAGGGUUUCAAACGGAUUAACGUUCAUUCUCCACCCAAACAAACCACUCCUCGAGACCAGAGAAUCUACCUGCAGGUUUCUUUCUUUUCAGUUUCAUCAGGCUAUCUAUCAGUUUUGAGAUGUAAGCCUCCAUCCAGACUGCAGAGAACUGAAACUAAGAACCUCUCAUGAUUAGAGCAGACGGACUCGUGGUCAAGAAAACAGAACGUUUGGUCUAGGUGGACACCUAAUGUUUCAGCCGGCCUGAUUAGGUUUGGCUUUGGGUAAUGGACCACCAUGACAAAAUGGGCUAGCUUUGAACCAUGCCAAAGACCUAGGCAGAAUAAUUAGUCAUUUUUUUUCUUUCUCAGAAUUUCCAACCCCCCUUAUCUUGGUUCUCUCUUUUAAGCGUGCUUUCCUCCCAACAUUUUGGGCUGUUUAUACUUUCUCUAGAGCCUCCCUACUUGCUGUGUGGCUGCAGGUCUAUGCCAGCUUAAAUGGCAUGGCUGUUUUUCCUCUCACCACUAAUGUCCUCCCCAAGGCUGCUGAGGUCGUAUGCCUUGCCUGCAUUAAAAAGAAAAAAAUCUAUAGUACUUACUGUCUUUGUGUUUUUGAGUCUGUUCCUGAGUUCUUUCAUUAAUGAGACCAUGAGCCCCAAAGAGGACCCCAAUUUCUCUUGCAUCGCCAACUUCGCUUCCUCACUGCUCAGGUACACAGGACUUCACAACGAAUUUACAUGCAAGUCUGAUUCUCCUCACUAACACUAUUCAGUUAUCAUCAUUAGCAUGACUUGCUAUUCCAAGAGAUUCUGACCCAGGCAAAUAGCUUGGUUGUUCCAUACAGCAGGUUGUUGGAAAGACCCGCCAAUGCUUUAACCGAAUGCAUCAAAGGAUAAGCUUGUAUCCUAAGACUGUCAAUUCCUGCUUUUACCAACCCUGAAUUCCGGCCAGUCCCAGAAUUGAAAGGUCUGCCUUGUAACCAAGCUUCAGAUUCUCAAUCUCUGCCUUGCCAUGCUAAGCUCUCCCCUCUCAAUACCCAGUCCUUGGGUACUGUCCUUUGCCACAGUCUAGUUCACAACAAAUUCAGCUUUGUGUUAGCAAAGAGCCCGGCAACACUAAGACCCUCAUCCCUCCCUGCCACAUAUAGGCUUGCCUGAAGUCUGGCAAGACAUGCUUCACUUCUUUGCCCUCUAAACUUGAUAAAGAAAUGGAGCUUGGAGGAGGGGGAGGCAUCAGAGAUGAUGGAGUGAAUAAUGUGAAAAGGGAAGCCCACCUAAUUGCUUCUGCCAAGAUCCUGAAUAGACCCUUAGAACAAUACAAAGAUAUUCUUACAAGCAGCCUCCUCCUUGAAGGCAGAGCUUUCUGAAAAUUAAACGCAUACAAAUCCUCUCUAGUGGCAAGAAGGAGACUGACCCUCAACACUGGGGUGAGAUACUGUCCCUGUACUACCUCUGAGUUCUUCCACUUUCACUGGAUGAAGCCCUACCUCCCCCUUUCCCUGUUAAAUCUGUCCCCAGUUGUUCAGUGACUUUCUUAUUACAUGACUGAGAAUAAAACUUGCCCCUUCAUGGAAACCUGAUAUUAUCACUCCACCUGGCCUUCCUUCCACAAGGCAAGUAACUUGAUUCCUCAAUACAGAACAUUGUGUAUAGCAAUCAGGGACUUAAUGGGUUCAUGAAAGUUCAGAACUGGGUGCCCUGGGUGCCCUAUCUAUGCUGGAUGUCCCUGGUCACAAACUGCUUAUGGUAGCUUAUGGUAUGCUUAUGGUAGCUGGAGUUGCUAUAGAGGCAGCUGCACUUGGCUAUGCUGUGCUAAGUGGUUUCAGACAAAGAAAAAUGUAGGUGGGCUGAAGCAGGGGCUAGCGUAUACCCAGCCUACAUCUGAGCUUGCUCUGGGAAAGGCAGAACCCCAGCAGAUAUUGCCCAGGCUAUGUGAUCAUACAAGGUUGGCUCGUGUUUGGACAUCUGUGUGUUGAGAUGAGGGAAGGGCAACCUGUAGUGCCAAGUUUGGUUUCAGUUGGCAUCCAGCCUUUAGUAAAAUGUCUGCUUCAUGGUCAAAGCAGACAUGAUAGCGAGGGUUCUCAGACACACUCACUCCUGAAUACAGAGCUCUAACUGAUCCUUGUGUGUAACUGUAACACACUACGACUCCGGGCCACACAGGUGCAGUGCAGAUGUUGUCUACCACUGAUACUUAACUAAGUAUAUGCCUGAAUUAAAAUGAGAUGUUUGAGCAACAGUUUUUACUUCUGAGAAUAAAUACUUCACAUUUCUGUACUAGUUAGCAAUUCUUCUUUUGAAUUGAGAAUCAAAAUAGAUAAUGGGCAUUGAAUCACAGAACCUAGCCUGAUGUCUUAAAUACAGAAAUCACUCAGUUAAUGUUCACCAACUGAAUUAAUAUGAUUACUAAUAAAAUAUUACAAUGCAAUAUAGAGUAGAUGAACUUAAGUGAACCCAAAAGACAUUUAAAUUUUAUUCUUGUGUGUAACAAUGACACAACUGUCAUUCUAAUUGGUUAAGUGUUUUAAACACAUGAGUUUGUGGCAUAAUCUCAAUGAUACUUGCUCAAGUUUCCUCUCUCUAAGGUCUGAAAAACCUUUGUAAGCACUAAGUUAGGGCUCAAAAGAUAGUAUCCCCACAAGAGAGAAAGGAGCAGCGUCCUUCUGAAAAGGAAGGCUGAUCUGAGUCAUAUGCCAGCACCUGAUGCUCAGCCUGGACUAGGCAUGAGUGACAUCUUACACAGACAGAUGCCCAGGGCCACUGAAGGAGACUCAGGAGCUCUCAGGUUGACCAGGGCAUAUACCAGAAACUUCUAGAAGUUUCUGAAGGCAAGCGAUUACAAACUGAAUGUUUUUUCUUUUACUAACUAUAGCAUGUUGAAUCCUGUCUUGUGCUACAUCAUAGUGAUGUCGAUCUGUGAUCUAUAACUUUAGAUACCUAAGGUUCAAAUCCUAGAAAUCACGUCUUUGCCAAUAGCAUUCUUUCAUCUAAGAGUGACAUCCUGGGGUGUUCUGAUCAGGACUAAGUAUCAGGGAAACAGUAACAGUGAAAUGAGCAGAAACAGUUUGAAGGUGUACAUUAGGGAUCAUUAGUACUACAGAGUUGAGUCUUGGUUAUAAACAAACAUGUAAAAGUUCUCUUGGAAAUUAGAAGGCAGAGCCAACAUGAUGUGCUAUUCUGUGUUCUCAUUCCUAUUCACAUACAUCUCUGAAAAUGACUUUGGAUAAAAUUAUAUUAAAAACUACUGUGGCAUACAAAGACACACACAUACAUGUGUAUAUAGAGAGAGUCAACUAAAAUUCAAAUGAAGUAGUGGAACACUAAAUUUGUGAGAAAAGAGUAUUAUGGAAAACUGAUUUAGCUCUUGUAUGUAUGUAUGUAUGCAUGUAUGCAUGCAUGUAUGUAUGAUGCAUAUACAUACAACUAUAUAGAGGGUGUUGAACCUUACCUAAAAUCAGAACAGGGAUUACACGGUUUCCUUUUCCUGAAAGAUAAAGUGACCUUGACUACAAAAUGCCUCUUACCAUCCUCCAUCAAUUAGAUUUAUCCAUCCCAGAGGCACCUGCUUCACCACAGGCUCUUCUCACGUGUAAAUGUUUGUCAAAGUCUCCCACCAAGCUUUGCACUCAGCUGAGAAACAGGAGCUUAUUCACAGCCAGUGCACUGGAUGGAGGAGAUAAGGCAGUCCUCCUCCGCACUGUUGGAGCCACUAGUCAAGACACACUCCCAUUUGUAUUCAUUAUAAUACAUCCCGUAGAUAAAUAACCCGACACUUUAUAUAGAGGCUCCAAAAGUAAUUCCUGCCCCACAAAAAAAACUGAGUAAGACAGAAUGACUAGACCACCGGUCCUUUCUAUAUGUAUCCAUCCAGUCCACAAAAGUGAAAAGAUGAAGGGUAACUGCUCACACAUACACGACAGAUGGAAUUUCACAGUAAAAUAUGGCCCUCUGGAAUAAUGAACACAGGGAAGUAAAAUAAUAGCCGACAAGUGAGUGCAGGCACGUGUGGGAGACCCGGACUGCCUAGCCCUGUUGGCUGAUUGGCUUCUCCAGGGAUGGUAAAGAAGCUAGGUCUUGGGGACUGCAUCCAUGAGCUCAUGAUUAAAUAAAGAUGUUGACUUCCAAAAACAUUUCACAAUCUAACCUACAGGUCAUGUUGAAAUUAUGUCAACAUAUGUGGACUCAUAGGUUUCAUGAGGACCAACGCGACCGUCUUUUUAAGUUAAGAGUGAGAAAGGAAACAGUUUUAAGAAACACAUCUCUGGUGAAUGAGCUACAGAAUGCCUGUCUACCUGUGGCUGGGCAAUUUAUUUAUUUUUUUCAUUCAGUUUCAUUUUUAAUUAUUUUAUUAUACGCACAUGGGUGUUUUGCCUGUAUGUAUGCUCACACCAUGUGUAUGCCUGGCACCAUGGAACACCGAGGAGGUCAUCAGAUCCUCUGGAACUGGAGUCACAGAUGAUGGUGAGCAACAUAACCCAGCCAUCUGCAAGAACAACCAGUGCUCUUAAUCACUGACCCAUGACUCCAGAGCGCUGGGCAUUUUAUAUUAAGAUGAAGCUCCCUUGAGAUUUGUUUCUGUACUUAGGGAACUAUCAUAAUUAAACUUUUUAAAACCUUACAAAGGACGCAUAAGCAUCAGUCUUGAUCUACAAAUCCAUAUUUUUCAGGUUCCUUUCUUCAUCCGCUUCCUUUUCAUGUCUAAUAGAUACCUCAAACUUUCAGGUCGAAAUUGAACUUUUGCUUCUACUAACCCAUUCUCUCCCCUGUCCUCUUCCCAUCCAGAGCAGUUUGCUCUCUGUCCAUCAGCCCAUCUCGUUGGUUCCACCGUACAAUUUCCUUUCCCAGGUGUUCUUCUCCUAUAGCCCUGGACCAGGGCAUGAGGUCUCCUUCCUGACUCUGCAGUCAAGCCUUCCAGACCCUGCUCCUUCCAUACAGCUGAGAAUCCAAUCCACACCCAGGAAACACUCUGAUGUCACCCUAGGCUGGGCUGGGUCUCCGUAGCUAGAGGAGCAAUCCAGUUCCUUACCCCGGCAUGGUGCACAGCGCCAGCCCUCAAACUUUCCUUGUUCAGUUGCCAGCUAUAAGGCACGCCCCUCUUCCUGCUGAAUGCCACCACGGGCGUGGUAUCUGGUGCUCCCUGGCUUGCACAGAUCUUGAAGGUGUUUCUACGAUUAGCUCCCAUCCAAGAGUCUUUUCGUGAGCGCUACACUGAAUGUCCUUUCUCCUUUAUAAUCUUUCUCCUUUAUAACCUCUUUAUAAUCUUUAUAAUUGUAUUUUAGCAUAUUUAUACUAGAAAGUAAAUACUGUUUGCUUGCUUGGAGGACUGGCUGAAACAGUAGACCAUGGCUCAGUGAGCCAGAAUACUUCAUGCUAAAUGCUGACUGAUGCACAGAAAGAAUAAAUGAAUUCCAUUUCUUGUAAGUCAGGAGUCAAGAAGAAAAUGACAUGGCACUAAACUCACAACAGUUAACUGUUUUUAUUACAGGACCAUGACAAUUACGUUAAACAGUCUCAUUAGACUUUUAUGGCCUAAGAACUGGACUGUGGCACUUGUAUUCAGAAAGCCAGACUUCCCUUUAUAUCUAAUUGGUCUCCAGAAAGUUUUAAAUACUAUCCCCCUUUUCCCAAUAACGACUCUCUAUGUGUAGAUAAGAAAUGAUGAUCUAGCAUAAAACCUAUCCUGUAGACUUAUUAACUUAAAAUGCAGCUCUUAAAUCUCGCCCUGUGGUCUACACUCACGUGGCGGCUAUAUUUUCUUUACAGUGUGUUCCCUCUGAGGACUCAAGGCACUCAGAGAAAUGGCUUUGGAAAAUCAGGCCUCAUGCCCCUGAGCGGCACAGUUUCUCAAAGUUGACCUUGGGCUGUGGAAACAAAGGGUCAUAGCUACAUUCUGCCAGGUCUGCUUGUUUUGGGACAGUGCUUUGUAAAUGGAGUCCAUGGACCCUGGGGUCUCAUGCAAUUUGUUUGGAGGGUCUUUGGGGGUUUAGAGAGCCCACGUCAGAGUCUUAGUUUCCCUAUGCACUGUUAGCAGAAAGACCACUGACUAGAAACCACCCGGUGUGUUCUUCACGAUUCUUCCUUCCUUUGACAAACCUGCUCUUUCUGUUCCAGGAUGGUCCAUAUCUUGUGUGAUGAAACUAAGGUAAAUCGAAGAGGCCCACAUUUAGCCUGCAAGGAACAGCAUCUAAGGAUGGAUCACCAAUGUUUUCUAGCGUAGAAUUUUCCAGUCCUUUAACUUCAACAACAUCAAAAUGAGAGUAAAUCAAGUUGCCCAUUAAUAGGUAAUUGAAAAGGGAUUGCAAUGAUAGACUGUAAUGAGACUUUUGAAAUAAAAAGCAAAGGAAGUUCAAAGAAUGAUGUGGUACUGCCACAGGGAAGGGCUUUGCCAACCUUAACGUUAGACACAUGAAGACUGCUUCUUAAAUCUAUGAAUCAAAGCAAAACAAUAAAGAAAACAGAACGAUAGUGAACUCUGUUCAUUCAAGCAGGAAGAAGUGUUCGGUUUUGAAUAUAUAAAUUGAUUGAGGAAAAACAGUCCAUCUAUUCAAGGAAUGUGUUUCCAAUACAAUAUUACUUUUAUAUUUAAUUUUAAUUAAAAUUUAUGACAUGCAUAUUGCUGUGAUGAACCAUACUCUGCUAAUAUCUACUGUAACAGGUAAGGUAAUAACAAUUAAGACAUUGAUUGUUUAAGUCUGAUACCAUGAGAAAUAUCCAAAAUGAAAUUUUAAUUUGAUUUUUUAAUGGAAGGAAUGAUCAAUAAAGAGCCUUUGAAGAAAAAAAAAUCCCUCAUGAGUUGGCAAAAUUUAGAGAGGGGAUCUGUGAAAGGGGCCAAUUUCCAAGGAAGUGAAAUGAUGAUGUGGAGAGCUAAUAAGCUGAAUCCCAUUAAUGACUUGGUACAUAUUGUCAAGAUGACAGCAGCACACAUUAAUGCACUGGCAUGCAGACUGUAUGUAGAUGUAUGUAGAUGUAGUAGACAGCCAACAAACUCCAUGGUAUUUUGGCAUUUUCUGUCACAUAAUGCUUUGUCUAGGUACUUUCUCCUCUCACCUUAGAUCUUUUGCUUAUACAUUAUGAUUUCUGAUACUGUGUUUUUUUUGUGGGUUUCUCUCUCUCUCUCUCUCUCUCUGUGUGUGUGUGUGUGUAAGGUUUUGUGCUUUUCUUUAGUUCUAUUUUUGUUGUGUUUUUAUUAUUAUGAUUUGUUUUUAUUUUAUUUUCUUCCUAUUUAGCUGCCUGUUUGUUUUCUAUAGAGAAAGAAAGAAAAAGUCUGGAUUUGAGUGGGUGGGGAGGUUGGGAGAAUCUAGGAGGAGUUGACGGAGGGGAAACUAUAAGAAUAUACUGAGGAAACUAGGAAAGGGGAUAACCUUUGAAAUGUAAAUGAAGAGAAUAUCUAAUAAAAAAUUUAAAAAAAAGAAAAAAAAGAAAAAAGUCUAUUUUCAAUAAAAAUAAAUAAAUAAAUACAUCAGUUUUAUUUUUAGAAUACCACACAGAUACUCUAAAAAGAACAGGAAAAGGCGGGAUGUGCUCUCUCUUAUUUCUUUCCUUCUUUCUUUUUUUUCUUUUUUUUUUUUUAAUCAUUCACAAACACGUUUUAAACCUAUUGUGAUCACAUCCUUCCCUUCCCCCAAGUCCUUCUAGUUCUGACCCAUCUCUCCUCUUCCCUAAGACAUGAUCUCAUUCUGAGCCCCACGAUGGUGCUGCUUCUUAGUUAAUUGUUUGAGCCCCAGCCUUUGUGUGUUUAAAGUAAGGGAUCCCAUGUGUCUUUGGAGUUGGAGAGGAACUGACCAAUGACUGAAAUCUGGUCACUCAGAUCCCAGAGGGACCGAGGAACAAAUAGAGACUGUGCUGACUCUGGGAAUUUAGGGCCAACAGAGCUGAUCCCAGGCUGGGGCUGAGAGGUGAGCACUCAGGGGAAGGGAGAGGAGUUUUCAGGUGGGUGUCACCCUAAUAGAUAACUGCACGCCCUCCCUGGUCCUUUCCUUCCCCAAUCUUCUGUGUCUGUGCCCCUUACAGCAAGGGUUCAUCUGUUCUACCACAAGUACAAGGCUUGUGAGCUGGGUUGGGUCUAGCCAGCUAUGUCGGCUCCAUGACCGAAAAUUUAAAAUACUCUUUGUCACACAAAAUAUUCCCUCCUGUAAGUUCUGCAGGAUGCUUAAGGGCAAGUGACGGUUUUAGCAAACGCUUGGGUCUGGGUCCAUUCAGUCACACUCUUCCUAGGUGGAUUCCCUUGUUAAGUCUGUGAUUCGUUCAUUCAGUUCAAACAAGCUGCUUAGCUGCCUUCGGGAGACCCUGGGAGCUUGUAACUCAGAGUAAAGAGCAGGUGUCAGUUGACACUGCCUGUCUCUUGUUCCCCCUCUGCUCUCCUGUCAGAACACAGCCCAGCAAUGAAACUGUGAGGAGAAGUUUUCAGAACUUGUGAGAUAACUUCAAGGAAAUGAGGCAAACGUCUUGUAAUUUCUGCCUCUCCAAAAAGUCAGUUGUUCUUGAAAUGUCCUCCUGCGUGUGCCGAAUGAGAGCGUGUUUACUUCGUCUUACCCAACACCUCACCCAUUAUUAUUCAGAAUGAUGUUUCUGAGUGUGAGUUGUCUUCAGGACUACAUAUAGCUCAAAGUCACGCGACCUUGCCCUUGUGACUAUACAGCUUGGACUCCAGUGAACUUUGUUCAUAUGCCUUUGCAUAACCCUCAGAAUAUAAACUGAUGUACCGAAUAAAGAGUGCUGUUGCGUGAGCCUUUAGUCCGCCUCAUGUUUAAGCUCCACUCUCCCAGGUUCACACUGCCAAAAACCAGCGGUAACAUUCUCCAAAAUCUCUCUCUGCUUCCAAAACUCCUAAACUCUCCACUCCAUGCCUGCGUGAAGCCUAUCAGAGUUGGAGUCCCUUGGGGAGCCAUGCAGGAACAUGACAAAGUGGCUAGCUCAGAAGUGCUGCCUUAAGCCAACGUGGGGGAAAGCCAAAGCUCUCUCCCCUCUGUGUUCUUCCUCCUGUGCUGCACUGCUAUGGAUGAACCCCCCCCCCCCACACACACACACACACUUGGGGACAUAGAUGUACUGAAGGGAGGCUCGCUGCACUCUGCAUUAAUGGUGGACUAAAAGUAGGCUCUGUGUGCACAGUUUCUUACUCAGAGACAGUUACUGUUCACGCCAGAGAAGCAAGGCUUGCAGCAUGGAAUAUUGAUUCAGAGGAGGCCCCCUCUGCCGUGUAAUUCAAAUGUUUUUUACUUAAUUCUAGUCUUUGGCUUCAUGGGAAAAUAACUUCCUUAGUUUCUGCCAUGAAUAUGAUUAGGAACAAUAUACUUCCUUCUUUAUUAAAGCAACAUUUGCCAGCAUUUAUCUCAAAUCUUCCCUGUUUCCAAUUUACUAUCUCUUCUUCCCCAAGAACCAGUUCCAUUUUGUUCUUGUUUUACUUUUUUCUUUUAGUGUGUGUGUGUGUUGUAUGUGUGUAAAUGAUCUGUCAUAGAAGGUAGCACACACCUUGUAACUCUGGAAUGUUCAGUGCCACCUAGAAAUAGCCAAUCCAGGCAAAAUAAUUACUCCUUGACUUUGCCUAACUUUUUGUCAUUCUUUAGUAGACUAGCAACUGUCCCAAAGGGAAGGUUUGAUCUUCAAGAGAACCAAUUAGCCUUGCCUAGAAUCUGAGGAAGUCUCCACACUGAAGCCCAGAGAUGUUCUUCACAGGAUACCUGUGACCACUGAGGUUAUGGGAAGGAGACAAGAUGGAGGAUAGUGUAAAAACCCAUACCAAAACCAUUCUAAAGAUUUACAAAGCACACACUUCUCUGCAUCUCCUCUGUAUGAAGAGGGAGGGGGUGGGGAGGGGGAUGGGGAGGGGAGAGGGAGAGAGAGUAAUUCUGGGAUGACAGAGGAGCAGAUAAAGAAUGACCAACAGUUGCCCAUCUACAUUUGUGAGUCUUCACAUCUGCUGGUUCAGUAAUUGAAGGCUGGAAAAUACUUUCUAAAAAGCCCAUGUCUGUACUGAACAGACAUUUGUGUGUCAAUAUACUGUAAAUAGCAGCAUUUAUUAAUAUAGACCAUUAACUACGGUAAAUCAUCCAGGGAAGCUUGAGGUCUACAGAAAGAGGUGCACAGGCCACUUUCUGCAAGAGACUGUGUCUGCAGCAUCCCCACUCCUGCUCCUGGCCCUCAGCCUUACGUCUGAGCUCAGUAUUCCCAGCAGGUCUUCCCCAUCCCUGAUUAAACUUGCCUCCAAAGAGGAGGCACUCCUGUGAGGAGCCGCCCUUGCAAUCGCCAUUACAAGAUGGUGCUGAUAUCCAGUGUUCUAACUGGUAAACAAAUAGUCUGCGCAUGUGCUAGGGUAUUUUUCCAUUCCUUGUGCCCUUGCCUGUCCCGUGGCGUCAUCUGGGCUGAUAGUGAGCAGUUAAUCAGGAGCUUACACGUCACACAGAGGGGUAUUUAAGCAGCUCCAUUUUCCGGGUUCAGGGUCUUCCUGAGAAGUAAGCAAUAAAGCUUUGCCGUAGAAGGAUCUGGUUGUCCGAGUGUGUUUUGCUGGCAAAACAUUACAAGGACAAGACACUCCAUUAAGUGGAAAGAUAAGUCAGAGUCCUUUGCUAAACUAAAGUGAAUCACAGUAUCAUCAUAUAUUAUAUGCAUUAUCAAAGACUAUCUAGAACAAGGGCUGAUGUUCUCUUGAUAUUCCUACUGGACACACACACACACACACACACACAGAAAUAUACAUGUGCAUUUGUGAAAUGCAUUAAAGUCUAGGAAUACUGUCAUCAGUAGCAAUCGGCUGAUAUCGACAGUUCAGUUACAAAUAAUUAUCCUAUAUAAACAAUAAUAAAAAGGGGGAAGUAUAUAUAAGUUUAAUUUAAAUACUUUCUUUUAUUGCCUUUUCUGAUCAAAUGUAUGUGUCAGAGGAAACCAAGUUUUAAAAUGUAUUCAUUAAAAAUAUUUCAAAAUUGGAAGAAGACAGUUUUCCAGAAGAUGUUUUGGUCUAUAACGGGUUUUACAAGCUAUAAAUUAGUAAUUCUCAGCCUUGGAUAUUUAGAAGUAUUCAGAGAAUCUUAAAAUAUGUGCUAACUUCUGAGGUCUCUAGGUGUGGGCUCAGAUCAUAGGGUUCAUCUAAGGUUAGGAGCCUCAUCCUAUAAAGGGUGCUGCUGUUCUGACCUGGCUCACAUAGUGAGGUCAGGUCUAUAGUUGUAUUUUAUUUUAUUUUUAUUUUUUUGGUUUUUUGAGACAGGGUUUCUCUGUGCAGUCCUGGCUGUCCUAGAACUCACUCUGUAGACCAGGCUGGCCUUGAACUCAGAAAUCAACCUGCCUCUGCCUCCCAAGUGCUGGGAUUAAAGGUGUGUGCCACCACUGCCCAGCUUAUAGUUGUAUUUUAAAGGGGACUGAUGCUCAAAGUCAGAGAGGGGGUGAAGCUCAGCAGUGCUCAGCUGUGAAAGAAGCUACUAUAGAGGUUAUAACCCCAAAUUAUUAUUAUUAUUAAAUAUAAUAAUUAUAUUUAUUAUUAUUAAAUUUAUAUAAUAUAUACAAUAUUAUAAUAAUAUUAAUAUUAUUAACAAUAAUAAUUAAAUUAUUAUUAUAAAUUAUUCUGAAAAUAAUUUGAAAAAUCUACAUUGUCAAUAAAAGCUCAGUUUGUGAAAUCAAAAUAUUAUGACUACAAGUCCCUGUGUGUUCAGGUGUUGUAGGUACCCCUAGGUGCUCUGUGUUGGGGGUGUGGCAGCAAGUGAGGAAGAUGCUCUGUGUGCUGUAAUGGAGUUCAUAUGCUUGAAGAUAAAAUGACUCAAACUUGUACAGCCAAUGUCGUGUCACAUAACUUUAGGCAGUGUCCGUGCAUUCAAAGGAAGUGUAAAAGGUAAAACCAAAAACCUUCAUUGUUAUAUCUUAAAAAUUGAGUAAGUAUCUCAGAUGAGGGGAUGACCUCAGGACUCUUGAUUUACAUAGAAAUAUUGUUCAUAGCAUCCUGGCAUGCUUUACAUUCAGAGUGUGUGUAAAUAGUCAGGAAAGAGUUCAAAGUUGGGAAAAGUUGGCUUUCUUGCAGGCAGUUUGUGAAAGAGAAGCACCUGGAAGUAUCCCUGAAGACAGGUUGGACGGGAUAGAGAAGAGGCGAAGGAGCAAUUAGAGAAAUACCUGAAAUACAGGAGUCAAAUGGGAACCAGGUGAGUGGAAACAGAUAAGGGGGUGUGCCCAGUGGGCAGGAAGGGUGCGAGCUAAUGAGCCUCACAGCAGAAACAAUGUUAUCUUGAACCACACAGUAGAAACAAUGUUACUGAAGGCAGAAAUGGAGGGGGUGCCCGGUUCUGAGGCUGCAACUAAAUUUCACCUACCAGAGGAGAGCGGAAGAAAAAAGAACGUUGAGGAUGAGAAAGGUCCAGAAAGUCAGUGCUGGGCAGGGCUUUGGAGUGUGUAGAAAUCUCUGGAACCUUGCAACAGCCCUCUUUUACGUACUACUGAAGGUUAAAUAUUAACCCAGUCCCCUACUUAGCAACCUAAUUGAAGAAAUGGGGUAUUCUCUACUGAAGGAGUUAUGUAAUUCAGUCUAUUGUAUUCUUUUUUUUGUUUGUUUUUGUUUUUGUUUUCCAUUUUUUAUUAGGUAUUUAGCUCAUUUACAUUUCCAAUGCUAUAUCAAAAGUCCCCCAUACCCACCCACCCCCACUCCCCUACCCACCUACUCCCCCUUUUUGGCCCUGGCGUUCCCCUGUACUGGGGCCUAUAAAGUUUGCGUGUCCAAUGGGCCUCUCUUUCCAGUGAUGGCCGCCUAGGCCAUCUUUUGAUACAUAUGCAGCUAGAGUCAAGAGCUCAGGGGUACUGGUUAGUUCAUAAUGUUGUUCUACCUAUAGGGUUGCAGAUCCCUUUAGCUCCUUGGCUACUUUCUCUAGCUCCUCCAUUGGGAGCCCUGUGAUCCAUCCAUUAGCUGACUGUGAGCAUCCACUUCUGUGUUUGCUAGGCCCCGGCAUAGUCUCACAAGAGACAGCUACAUCUGGGUCCUUUCGAUAAAAUCUUGCUAGUGUAUGCAAUGGUGUCAGCGUUUGGAUGCUGAUUAUGGGGUGGAUCCCUGGAUAUGGCAGUCUCUACAUGGUCCAUCCUUUCAUCUCAGCUCCAAACUUUGUCUCUGUAACUCCUUCCAUGGGUGUUUUGUUCCCAAUUCUAAGGAGGGGCAUAGUGUCCACACUUCAGUCUUCAUUCUUCUUGAGUUUAACACAACAUAGCUGGCAUACCAUAACAAUAUGUGCAGAAUGAAGAAAUGAAACCCCAAUGUAAGAAGAGUCAUUCCAGACAAAUUCGUGGUAAUUGGGAGGGCCAAAGUUAUGUUUUAGGUUUUAAUUACCGUGCCUAAGCCAUCUAUAAAACAAAAAUACCUCUAACUUGUAAGCCACUUGCCCAAGGAUAGAUUCUGCCUGAGAUGCCAGAGUCUACCAUUUAUAUAAAAUAACAAGACCCUAAACAAAUUUGUUUGACUCAACUGCACCGUAUGUAUAUGACCGUAGGUGGGAGGUACUUAGGAAAUAUGUCAGAAUAUAUACUUGUCCCCAACUGGGGUCUGGAAUGUUUCCCCUGCCUACCAGCUUUGAGUACUUUGAAGAUAUCAUUGUGAUGACGUUUGCUCCCUAUUACUUUUUUAUAUCUUAUUCUUUGGCAAGUUCAUACUUUUAAUGAUAAGUCAUUCAUGCAUACAGCCGUUACCUUGAAUGCAUAUAUUUUAUGCUGCCUACUAUAAAGUUAACUGGUCAUAUUUACACUAAUUUUGCCUAUUUCUAAAUUCUUUUCUAGGAUUUAAAGAUUUACCCCUUGGAGUGAAGGAAAAGGCAGGAAAAAAAAUCUUCAUUUCAAUGCAUUCUUCACUGGGAAAAUGGCAGCAGGCAGAGAGAGAGAGAGAGAGAGAGAGAGAGAGAGAGAGAGAGAGAGAGAGAGAACACCAGGGUUUGAAUUAGAAUGUGAAGAGGGAACUUGACUGGUGGCUGAGAGUUAAAACUAUUGGGUUCCUAACAUUUAAAAGUAAUAAGGUCACUUUUUAAAUGACCUGACUCACACAGGCACUGGGUACAUUUGUCUGUGAACGUAAUUAAAAAUUUAAUACCACUCCUUCCCAUUCCAUGGCUAUAACUUUUAUUUCUGACAAGCAAAUUAAACUGCUCAAGUCUCAAGGUGAGGACCACUGGGAUUUUUAUCUUUUCAUUCGUCUUGAGCACAGGAUACCCCCUAAUGCCGGGACCUGCAAUACUACUCUUUCCUGCUUAAAAUCAGCAAUCCUACAGUGGCUUCUGUCCUCUUCAUCCCAUGUCAUUCUGUCCCAAAUCUUUAUCAAAUGAUGGUAAGGGCAAUACUCUCCGUGGUUCAGAGGAUAGAUGUACAUUAGGAAGCUCCUUUUGUGUUCUGAAUUGUUGUACUCUUCAAAGUUAAUAGUUCUACCUAAUACUGAUUUAAGGCAUGCUAUACAAAAUUGAAUAAGUAAUUUUAUUACCAACAAGAGAAAGGCAUUUCUGUCACACAGUAAAAGAUCAUGGACUUCCCAUGGUGUGAGAGAUGAAAACCCUUCUGUACACCAGAAGUCUGUGCAAGAGUUUUCAGGAGAGCUUCAGAUGGGCUCCUGGGAGCUGCCCUAGCUGCUGCCUUACCGUGCCUGUUACUAAUUGUCCCACUGGCUCCUUUAUGGCAGCAUGAAAAUAAUGAUCUGUUUCUUCUUGACACACUGGACUUAGGAUCAGAAUCGUAGAAGCUAUGUAGAAGCUAUUUCAUAUUGCUAUAGUAAAGAGUGGAGUCUAUCUCUCAGUAGAGUUUAGAUGGAGACACAUCAUUGUCUCCUCCAAGAGUUCAGUUUAGCAGCAGGUCAGUCAUCUGGCCCAGGACCAUUUCUCUGGAAAGCAGGUCCUUCUUAAACUAUGACUUAGGCAGCUACUUGGCAACAUUUUACUCCUUUUGACUGGUUAAUGAUAAAUGUACUCACCUGCUUGGUCAUUCCUCAAGAUCAAGCAGGGGAAAUAAGAAACAGAAGCUCUGGUGGCCAAAAGAAUACUCAUCUUAAAAAUUUUAAAGUCUUUGUACAACAUUAUUUCUGGCAUUGGAGAGGAAAACUUAGCUCAGUGGUUAAAAGCACUGACUAUUCUGAUGGUCCCGAGUUCAAAUCCCAGCAACCAUAUGGUGGCUCUCAACCAUCUGUAACAAGAUCUGAUGCCCUCUUUUGGAGUAUCUGAAGACAGCUACAGCAUACUUACAUAUAAAAAAAUAAAUAAAUCUUUUAAGAAAAAAACAAGAGAGGAAAAUGUGCUCCCCACAUGAUCCAGACUGCGUGUAGGUGGCAGCCAGGAUGGGGACAGGGGACAGUUCACGUUUCAUUUCCCACACAGCCUCUUCGCUAAGCAUUUUGUUCAAAUUGUUUGGCUAGCCAUUAAACGCGUGCCUAGUCAACACAAAACCCUGCCCCCUUUCUCUCUCUCUCCUCUUCUCUGAAGCCUUUAAGCUGAAUUGGAAGCAACUAUAAAAAUUCUCAUUUUUGCUUUUUACCUAUGUGAAACAUUUCCAAGGGAUGAGCCAUUAAAUUCCCACCUAAUAAAAUAA